AGCGGCGGAUGGGUGAGUAACACGUGGGGAACCUGCCCCUAAGUCUGGGAUACCAUUUGGAAACAGGUGCUAAUACCGGAUAAUAAAGCAGAUCGCAUGAUCAGCUUUUGAAAGGCGGCGUAAGCUGUCGCUAAGGGAUGGCCCCGCGGUGCAUUAGCUAGUUGGUAAGGUAACGGCUUACCAAGGCGACGAUGCAUAGCCGAGUUGAGAGACUGAUCGGCCACAUUGGGACUGAGACACGGCCCAAACUCCUACGGGAGGCAGCAGUAGGGAAUCUUCCACAAUGGACGCAAGUCUGAUGGAGCAACGCCGCGUGAGUGAAGAAGGUUUUCGGAUCGUAAAGCUCUGUUGUUGGUGAAGAAGGAUAGAGGUAGUAACUGGCCUUUAUUUGACGGUAAUCAACCAGAAAGUCACGGCUAACUACGUGCCAGCAGCCGCGGUAAUACGUAGGUGGCAAGCGUUGUCCGGAUUUAUUGGGCGUAAAGCGAGCGCAGGCGGAAAAAUAAGUCUAAUGUGAAAGCCCUCGGCUUAACCGAGGAACUGCAUCGGAAACUGUUUUUCUUGAGUGCAGAAGAGGAGAGUGGAACUCCAUGUGUAGCGGUGGAAUGCGUAGAUAUAUGGAAGAACACCAGUGGCGAAGGCGGCUCUCUGUCUGCAACUGACGCUGAGGCUCGAAAGCAUGGGUAGCGAACAGGAUUAGAUACCCUGGUAGUCCAUGCCGUAAACGAUGAGUGCUAAGUGU
rnacentral:rRNA from 1 species